rnacentral:rRNA from 1 species
UACAGAGGUCCCAAGCGUUGUUCGGAUUCACUGGGCGUAAAGGGUGCGUAGGCGGUCGGGUAAGUCUGAUGUGAAAUCUCACAGCUUAACUGUGAAACUGCAUUGGAUACUAUUCGGCUUGAGAGUUGGAGGGGGGACUGGAAUUCUUGGUGUAGCAGUGAAAUGCGUAGAUAUCAAGAGGAACACCAGUGGCGAAGGCAAGUCCCUGGACAACUUCUGACGCUGAGGCACGAAAGCUAGGGGAGCAAACAGG